ACGGGAGGCAGCAGUGAGGAAUAUUGGUCAAUGGGCGGAAGCCUGAACCAGCCAAGUCGCGUGAAGGAUGAAGGUAUUAUGUAUUGUAAACUUCUUUAGUCGCAGAGAAAUAAGGCGGACGAGUCCGCUGAUGCUAGUAUGCGAAGAAUAAGGAUCGGCUAACUCCGUGCCAGCAGCCGCGGUAAUACGGAGGAUCCGAGCGUUAUCCGGAUUUAUUGGGUUUAAAGGGUGCGCAGGCGGUGGAUCAAGUCAAUGGUGAAAUGGUGCGGCUCAACCGUAGCAUUGCCGUUGAAACUGGUUCACUUGAGUGCGGACGAGGCAGGCGGAAUGUGUUGUGUAGCGGUGAAAUGCAUAGAUAUGACACAGAACACCGAUUGCGAAGGCAGCCUGCCAGGCCGCAACUGACGCUGAGGCACGAAAGUGCGGGGAUCGAACAGGAUUAGAUACCCUGGUA
rnacentral:rRNA from 1 species